UGUGGACCAGCCCCUGGAAGAUAUCUUUCUUUUGACACUUGUUUUUCUUUCAGGAAGCCAUGAAGACAUUCACAGGAUCAUAGAAUGUUAGAGCUAGAAGAAAUCUGAACCUGACAAAUACUACGUGCCUAAAAAGUGCUUGUUAACUAUUAUGUUGUUCGUACUCAAUUGAAGUCAUGGCUCUUGAAGAUUUAUACAAGUAGAGAGGAAUGUGAUGAAUAUUAUGGUAAAGGUUUCAUG
rnacentral:lncRNA from 1 species